rnacentral:misc_RNA from 1 species
AACAUCGCGCACCUGCGGGAACCUGCGGAGGGAUCAUUACCGAGUUUACAACUCCCAAACCCCUGUGAACAUACCUAUACGUUGCCUCGGCGGAUCAGCCCGCGCCCCGUAAAAAGGGACGGCCCGCCCGAGGACCCCUAAACUCUGUUUUUAGUGGAACUUCUGAGUAAAACAAACAAAUAAAUCAAAACUUUUAACAACGGAUCU